rnacentral:rRNA from 1 species
AUAAUAUGCUUAAUAUACUGGCUCUCGUUAGAUCACCGAAGUCAAGCAUCAUUGGGCGCGGUCAGUACUUGGAUGGGUGACCACCUGGGAACACCGCGUGCCGUU